UGGCUGCUCCAUCCCUGGAAGUGUCCAAGGCCAGCUUGGAUCACCCUGGGACAGUGGAACCCUGCCCGUGGAUGAUUUUAAGUCCCUCCUAACCCAAACCAUUCCAUGAUUUUCAGUGUGGAAAGGAAAAGGCCCUGGUUUAUGGCAUUUUAUGAAGGCUUUAGAAGAGGAAUCAGAGCAAAUAUAAAUGGAAUAUAAACAAACAAUUCUGUUGUGUCUUCGGGGUGACCUGACCCACUUUGGGAGCAGCAGCCCCUGGUUUGAAGCCUCCAUGAGGUGCUGCUGUUGGGAUCAGCGCUGGAAAAGCACAGAAAACAGGAAUUCAGGCAUGAGGUGAUGCCAGGGAGAGUCACCAGCCAAGAAAAUUCGAGAGAACUGAGGCCUGGAGAUUCUCCAGGGGGUUAUUCCAGCCCCAAAGCAUCCCAAGAUGGGAAGAGGCAGAGCUCCAGCAGAGCCAGGCAGGGAGCUCCAGCCCCUCUGACUUUGUGCAGCUUUCAGGGAAAGGUGUGGACUCCGGGAAUGUGGCUGCUGCUGUUGGAUUGGUGCUGGAAAAUCAUGGAAAACAGGAAUUCCUGCUCUGCCACAGGCUCAGGGCAGGGAUUAAUGGGGUUCUUUGCCCCAAAAAGUGCUGGAGCCCAUCUGAAUGGAACAAUCUGACGGUGUAGGCAGAGCAGGAUGGUUCCCAGCUCUAACCACAUUCCUGAACUUUCUCCUUUGUGCCUGAGUCACCGAGGAGGGACGGGUUUCACCGCCGGGAUUUUGUGUAACGUCACCACAGCGUCACCAGCAAAGAAAUCAGAAAGAGCUGAGCCCUGGUGGUUCUGCAUUGGGUCAUUCCAGCCCCAAAACUUCCCAAGAUGGGAAAAGGCAGCGCUGGAGCUCCACCAGGGCCGGGCACGGAGCUCCAGCCCCCCUGAGUUCCAGGUGUGACUCCCGGAAUUUCCUUUCAGUGCUCACACAGCCUGACCUAAUUCCCCCUCCCCGAGCGGGCGCAGGGAGAGGCCGAGCCCGCCGCGUGUAAUUAAAGCUGUUUUGGGA